rnacentral:lncRNA from 1 species
GUGCUGGCUGCGUACCUAAGAAAGCUAAACCCUAUGGUGUCAGAAGUGAUUUAAGGGGAAAAACAAAAUUCUGAGUAAAAAGUCUAAAAUAAUUUUCUCUUUGGAUUUACAGCGUUUCUGAUAGAGGCUUCUUAGGAGAUCUUUGCUACAGCACGUCGGUUGACUUAUUGGAAAGACAUUAAUAUUGAAUCGAUGAGUUAGUGAAUACCGGUAAAUUUCUAGCUGUAGUACAAAAGGAGACACUGCAGAGGAAAGAAUUGGUAUCAGGUAUAGGAACUCUCGCAGUAAGAAGAAGCAUAAUUUUGGAUACAAAAUUUGGCACAGGU